rnacentral:miRNA from 1 species
UGUGAGUACAUUUAGUUCUGAGUUGGCAUA